CGAAUGCCUUUGCCUGUUGAACAUCUGAUAAACACUACUCUCAACUGCCAAAAUAGCUUAUACACUGACUGGCUCAGCUUGUGUCUACCCUACGCCGGCAGGCGCGGGUAACCCGUUGAACCCCAUUCGUGAUGGGGAUCGGGGAUUGCAAUUAUUCCCCAUGAACGAGGAAUUCCCAGUAAGUGCGGGUCAUAAGCUCGCGUUGAUUA
rnacentral:ncRNA from 1 species